rnacentral:misc_RNA from 1 species
AAGUCGUAACAAGGUUUCCGUAGGUGAACCUGCGGAAGGAUCAUUAUCACGUAUCCACGUAUAAACCACUGCGAACCGUAUUCCCUUCUGAAGGGUUAGGGUCUCCUAACGGAGAGCUUUGGGCCAAUAGUCUUCUCAAUUUCGUGAUGGAGAAGCGGUCUGGAGUUGUUUCACGACACCUUAGUCUUUUUGAAGCGGUUAUUCAUCACGAACCGUUAAACUUUAUUAACCCCUUUAAACUUUUUGAACUGAAUCUUAAGCCUGCUUUUUGGUUCUCGCGAAUCGAAAACUGACUUCUACUUUACGAAAUAUUCGAACAAUUCUUAACAACGGAUAUCUUGGCUCUGAUAACGAUGAAGAACGCAGC